UGGGGAAUUUUGGACAAUGGGCGAAAGCCUGAUCCAGCAAUGCCGCGUGUGUGAAGAGGCCUUCGGGUUGUAAAGCACUUUUGUCCGGAAAGAAAUCCUUGGCUCUAAUACAGUCGGGGGAUGACGGUACCGGAAGAAUAAGCACCGGCUAACUACGUGCCAGCAGCCGCGGUAAUACGUAGGGUGCAAGCGUUAAUCGGAAUUACUGGGCGUAAAGCGUGCGCAGGCGGUUUGCUAAGACCGAUGUGAAAUCCCCGGGCUCAACCUGGGAACUGCAUUGGUGACUGGCAGGCUAGAGUAUGGCAGAGGGGGGUAGAAUUCCACGUGUAGCAGUGAAAUGCGUAGAGAUGUGGAGGAAUACCGAUGGCGAAGGCAGCCCCCUGGGCCAAUACUGACGCUCAUGCACGAAAGCGUGGGGAGCAAACAGGAUUAGAUACCCUGGUAGUCCACGCCCUAAACGAUGUCAACUAGUUGUUGGGGAUUCAUUUCCUUAGUAACGUAGCUAACGCGUGAAGUUGACCGCCUGGGGAGUACGGUCGCAAGAUUAAAACUUAAAGGAAUUGACGGGGU
rnacentral:rRNA from 1 species